UACGUAGGGGGCAAGCGUUGUCCGGAUUUAUUGGGCGUAAAGAGCGUGUAGGCGGCCAGGUAGGUCCGUUGUGAAAACUCGAGGCUCAACCUCGAGACGUCGGCGGAAACCCUCUGGCUAGAGUCCGGAAGAGGAGAGUGGAAUUCCUGGUGUAGCGGUGAAAUGCGCAGAUAUCAGGAAGAACACCCGUGGCGAAGGCGGCUCUCUGGGACGGUACUGACACUGAGACGCGAAAGCGUGGGGAGCAAACAGG
rnacentral:rRNA from 1 species